AUGUUUCAUAGUUUAUAGGUGUGAUGAUUGGGUUUUUGUGUUAUAUGUGAGAUGAGUUUCCCUCAAACCUUGAGACAACACUUGGGCAUUAUCUGCCUGAUG